GUUCCCGGCUCCGCUCUGGUGGCUCCACCUCGGCGCUUGCCAGAUCCAUCCCGCAGGCGAGGCACCCGGGCGGCUCCGCGGGCGACCCCCGGUGCUGGCUUCCCUGUGGUGUCACCGCCCGGGGCAGUGCCUCCCGCUCAGUGUGUCCCGAGGGGAGCCGGAGGACGGAGUAACUCCAGCGGCGGGGCUCUGCCGGGCUGUCCUGUGGCGAAGGGCGCCAGGGUGUCCGGCUGCGAAAGUAAAGUCAAAGUCCUCUGGGGCAAAGGACCCUGAGAGGGGGUGAGGAGGUGGAUCCGAGAAGCAAACAAACCCCUCCUAAAAAUGACUGUCACUGACAGUGAAAACUAACGAGACUGCAGGCUGCCACGCAGUCUCCUGGAAGGCUUGUUCGGGUGGAAACGACCACUCCUCCCAGCCGGCUUAGACCCCGACGCUGAGCCGAGCCAAACAGGAGCGCAGGUGUGGUGCCAUGAAUCAGACAGGACUGAACCUUUCCCUCGGUCCCUCUUUACUCCACCCAGGCAAGGAGAACUCCUUGAGCUCUUUGAGCUCCACUCUUGACUGGUAAUCCAGAGAUUCAACAGCAAGUCCAACUUCUGGGCCAAUGUUCCAGACUCCUGUCCAUCAAUGGCAUGGCAUUCCUUUUUAAGAUAUCUGAUAUCCAGGACUCUAAAACAACUGACCUUUUCUAUCACCUCUCCAAAUGGUUCAACUGAUUUUGAAGAAACAGCGACAAAAAAGAGGUCUUAAGGGAUUAUUUCUUGGACCCUACUUGGCUCCGCUCAGGUUGUUUAUUAUCACCGUUGAACAGUUCAGCAAAAAAUGAUAUUCAUUCAUCUUCACUGAAAGACUGACAGUGUUGAACUUCCGUUGAGCCUUACGUUCUUGGAUAAGAGCAGCAGUUAAGAAAGCUCCCACCUCCCAUCAACACUUUGUGUUCCAGGGAAGGGUUUACUGCAAAGAACCAUCCUUCCCCAUAUGACUUAGAUAAGACUCACCAUUCAUACCUUUUUUUUUCAGUUCAUAAGCAAAUGAAAGCUCUAUUCUUUGAUCAAAGAAUUGGAGAGGUGCGAGCUCGUGCUCUAGAGUACACACUCCCCUGUUCACUCUUUCCCGUGACUCCCAUAAGACAUGAGGAUGACUCCUCUGUCUACCCGUGACAAGGCCAAACACACACCUUCCCCCUUUUGUGUGAACCUGCUGAGAAAUCUGGGGCUCAAAUUUCUAGGGGUUUUGCAAGGUCUGCAGACACCUACAAAUCUCACACGUGUGCAUGUGCACCACACACGCCCUGGGUUUUACUGAGAUUCACUUUGCUGAUUGCUGCAGUGGUUCUCCUGUGUGAUCUCCUUCCCAUCACCUCUCAUGACUCAAACGUACAUUAGCCUUCCAGUGGUGGCUCCCUGCUCUACCAAACAUGACACCCUCUUCCAAUGCUGCCACCAUCUUCCAGCAGAUAGAAGCAGAAUCCAGGACCUCCAGCCCCUCUGUCUCCUAUUCAUAUUGGGCAGUUACCAGGAGCCAACAUAAGCAAACUGAGGGUGUGCUAUGAGGGAUGCAAUGCCUCUUUCCCUCUUGUUUCAUCUGCAGUUAGAGGAAGUCUCUAGCUAGUGCUGCUUGUUUCUUGCUAGAAAACAUUUAGAGAAAAUCUUUCCACAUUUCCUGCACUUUUCUGUCUCCAGAACUCAGACUUACACAUCCAUGGAGACAAAUGGAAAUAGAGUUGAUUGAUAACCACUGAUAUGUUCUCAAAAUGCUGUUCCUCUCUAUGGCAAAGGCGUCCCUAGUGAGUCAAGUUCAUUAAACUACGUCCUCAAUUUUAGGAAGAGUUUGUUCCUAUAAAGUUCCCAAGACCAUGGAGAACAUCACGGUUGGGCCUCUCCUACUAUUACAUCAGAUGAGCCUUAACACAUUUGAAUCUCUUUUCAGUGGUGACUAGGGCAGAGCUUCUCAAUUAUCCUAGUGAAAGACCAAUUCUUUUCCCCUCAAAUCAUUUUGGAUUGAUAUCUUGGUAAACUGUAAUAAAAAGGAGCUACGAGAAAAGUGAAAUAAAAAUCAAACUGAUCAGGUAAUGUCAGACUGCCAUCAAUUUUCCAAAUGCUUACUCCCACCGGCUGUCUUUCUCUAUUCGCAGAUCUGUAACACACAGCUCAUUUCCCUGCCCUGGCCUGCACAGCAUUCUGAGUAGAACUGGUCUAUGAAGUGAAGGGAGGCUAAGGUCUAAAUGUCCUGCCUGUGAUCUUGAACUGUGACCUAGUUACUAUUUUUCAGGAUUUAUUUUUUCUUCCAGCUUCUGGAGAACUGGAUAGAUGAUAAUCACCUUUCCUUCAUUUGAACUGCCAGCUCUCAAUUUGUUGGCACCAGAUUUUCUACUUUCUGAAUUAUUUUUUAAUCGUAAACAUCCCUCUAGGUCUCCUCUCUGUUUGGUUUAUUGCUCUUUAGUAACGUUAACGUCUCCACCAGAGAGUGUGAGAGGUAUUUUGCAGGGAAUCAAAUGGAAUUGUCAGCGUUUGGGGUAGCACCUCUUGCUAAAGCUUACAGUUAAAAAGAUGUUUGGACACUACCUGCGAAUUUCAUUUUACUUCAGAAACAUAUUACUCUACAUUUGAUGUGAAGGAUCUUCCUUCCCAGCAAGACUCAGAGUUGAGAAAACACAGAAAUAU